CACCAGGGACAGAGUGAGACCCUGUCUUAAAAAAAAAAAAAAAGGAAUAUGGACUUCGGAGUCUGCAAGCCUAGUUUUGAAUCUCUGUUCCCGCCAUUUCUAAGCUAUGAAACAUUAGGCAGGUCCCUGACCAUCUCUGAGCCCCGUGUAUGGACAACUUGGAGGGAGGCUGAAAUUACACCGCGGUGCAGCACCGGGCUGUGCAGUACCUGGUGCAGUAUAGGAAUCCCAGUUAGGUGAGCUCCACCCCCCCCAUGCCAGCUGAGAUCCACAGGAGACCUUUGUCCGUGCACCCCCAGAAUGUGACCUUUAGAACUUGCCAAUGACCCACCCAACUCACAACCAUUAUUUUUCUGAGAUAAUUUGCCAGAUAUGUGUGAUGCGAGAGGAAAAAGGGAGGCGGCGGCAGUCAGGAGGAUUGAUUCCGGGGGAUCCGGAGAGAGGUCUUACCUCCUCCUACACGCACAGCAGGCAGACUCCAUUUAGACACAAAGGGGUGGGACUGGGUUCGGGGAGAAACUGAGCCUCCUCGGUGCGGUCUGGUCUAGAUCCAGCAGUUCCCCGGUUACCCACCCUGGGCGCUGCGAUUGGCUGGCCGCGCCGAGUGUCGGUGGGGGGCGAGCCGCCGGCGGGGCCGCAGCAUCCCUCAGUCUCAGGCCCGGGAGGGGGAGGGGAAAGGCCGAGGCCGAGCGGUGGAGGGAAGAGGAGCCAUUUCUCUCCCCUGACUGCAACCUCCGUGCUCACAGCUCACAGUUUUCCAGAAUCCAGGGCCUGGGACUGCACGAUGCUUGAUAUUUUCAUCCUGAUGUUCUUCGCCAUCAUAGGCCUGGUCAUUCUGUCCUACAUUAUCUACCUGCUCUAGUGGCCUGGAGCGGCGGCCGAGAGCUGCAGGCAGACCGGAGGGGAAGGAUGAAGCCGAAGGGCCGAGCAUCCUGCUUGCUGACGCACCGGUGGAGUUUUGCUUCUGGUCAUUAUUUCGGCUCCUGGUCGCCAGUCCAACAAGAGGCCUCUUAUCAACAGCAGCUGCCCAACAGACCUCUUCCAGAGCCUUCCGGACAUGGUUAAUCCCUGGCAAGCAAGGGGCUUUUUGAGCUCAGAGGCAGAGCACUGGGCUGGGACACUGGGAAUGCAUGGACAUGACUGGCAGAUGCUGCAUGUGUUUGGGCUGUAGAUAGUGUUGAGAACACAGAAAGUUGAAAUGUAGACUCAUUAAAGUUACCAUGGAGAACCGCUCAAAAAUUCAUUUUGAUAGCCUUUCCUUAGGUCUAAAUGCAACUACAUAUUACGCUCAAAUAUGGUCCUUCCUUUCCCUCUCACAUGCAGGGGUUCCCCUGUUAAGUUUAAGAGCAAGUUCAAGUUGUCUAAUCUUCAUCUAUGAAGUAGUCACUUUAUCACUGUCUUUAUAGAUUAUACCAUCUGAGGUUGUGUGGUUUUCCUUGUCUCACUCUCCAGCCAGAAGGAACUUGUCAUUUGAGUUUUAAGAUUUAUCAUUUCUUCCCCACCUCAAACCACUUGUGUCCCAGCUUCUCAUUUAAAGAGAGAAACGUAUAUAGUCCUUAUUCUUGCACCUGACUGAAUUAUAAAUUAUUGAAACAAGAUGGUUAUAUUUAUUUAGGAAAAACGUCUUACCCCAAAAUUUUAUUGUCAAAUGUUCCUUUUCUGGAAAAAAAUUUUUCAAUAUAUGUCCCAUUAGGGCAGAAAAAACUAUAUAUUUGGGGGUUGAGAGUAGAACUGGCCCCCAAACCUAGGGUAUUUAUUCCUUUGACAAAUCCAUCAUAAUUUGUUCUACAUUUUGAUUUCCCUUCUAGCUUAAAAAUAAACAAGAGAAAGAUGAAUACUUUUUAGUAAUAACAUUGUAUUCAAUUUCUAUGUUUUAAAAAGAAAUAAAAUUGAAGUAUUAUAAUAUAUGUGACAAUUAAAAUGGAACACUUGCAUUUUAAAAUUCAGAACAAGAAAAAACAUUAUUCUCAACACUUUGUCUUGGCAACAAAUUACAUUACCUUUAAGAAGUCAUUUAAUCUUUAGGGCUUCAGUUUUUUCUGUCAAAUGAAAGAGUUAGACUAGAAAAUUUUUAAUAUCCUUUUCCAUUUUAAAAUCUAGAAUUGUAGAAUGCAUAAUCUUUGGAAACUACAUGACUGAGAGCAGAAUUCUCAUAGCUCUUACGAUGUUGCCCAGGCUGGCCUUGAACUCCUGGCCUCAUGAGUCUUCCCACCUCAUCCUCCCAAGUAGCUGAGACUACAGGCAUAAUCUACUGUACCCAGCUUGGAACAAACUCUUAGCAGUUUACUGGUAGUUCCUGUUUCCAUUCCCUCUCCCCAAAAUGACAUUUUAUAACGAAAACUCAACUGCAAAACUUUUUUUUGGGCCACAUUUGGAGGUUUUCUCCUCUAAUAUUUAUUUACUCCAAAUAUAUAUUAUUAUAUCAGUGAUAAUUUGUCUAAAAUGUUUAGGAAGUAUUAACAAAGACAAUACUACAUGGUGGUAUGUAGCAAAAAGACAGGUAAUCUGACAGGUACACUAAUGUAAGAAACAUGGCUCUGAACAUCGAUAUAUUUAGGAAUAAUUUUCAGGAGUCCUUGAUAUGAAAUUUCCCCCUAAAAUAUUCCUCUGACUCCAUAACCUUGUGUUUUGAACAACUUUCCACUUCAGGCCAAGAUAGCAGCUCUAUGUCCUGAGGUAACUGAGGCAAGUGCCAGCAUUUUGGAGGGGUCCAAAUUAAACAAUUGUGAUGGCGUAGAUCUUCGUGGUAUGUAUAUACACUUUUUAACCAAGCUCGCUCUGGAGUCUUCUUUCUAUGAUGUCAAGGCUUUUCGGUCUGUUUCCAUACAAAGUUGAAACCACUAAUCAAUUCAGUAAAAAAAAAAAAAAAAAAUCAGCCAAUUUUAGUCACAUGUUAGUGAUACGGCUGGUAUCGGGCACAAUGUAGGGA